rnacentral:rRNA from 1 species
GACGAACGCUGUCGGCGUGCUUAACACAUGCAAGUCGAACGGAAAGGCCCUGCUUUUGUGGGGUGCUCGAGUGGCGAACGGGUGAGUAACACGUGAGUAACCUGCCCUUGACUUUGGGAUAACUUCAGGAAACUGGGGCUAAUACCGGAUAGGAGCUCCUGCUGCAUGGUGGGGGUUGGAAAGUUUCGGCGGUUGGGGAUGGACUCGCGGCUUAUCAGCUUGUUGGUGGGGUAGUGGCUUACCAAGGCUUUGACGGGUAGCCGGCCUGAGAGGGUGACCGGCCACAUUGGGACUGAGAUACGGCCCAGACUCCUACGGGAGGCAGCAGUGGGGAAUAUUGCACAAUGGGCGGAAGCCUGAUGCAGCAACGCCGCGUGCGGGAUGACGGCCUUCGGGUUGUAAACCGCUUUCGCCUGUGACGAAGCGUGAGUGACGGUAAUGGGUAAAGAAGCACCGGCUAACUACGUGCCAGCAGCCGCGGUGAUACGUAGGGUGCGAGCGUUGUCCGGAUUUAUUGGGCGUAAAGGGCUCGUAGGUGGUUGAUCGCGUCGGAAGUGUAAUCUUGGGGCUUAACCCUGAGCGUGCUUUCGAUACGGGUUGACUUGAGGAAGGUAGGGGAGAAUGGAAUUCCUGGUGGAGCGGUGGAAUGCGCAGAUAUCAGGAGGAACACCAGUGGCGAAGGCGGUUCUCUGGGCCUUUCCUGACGCUGAGGAGCGAAAGCGUGGGGAGCGAACAGGCUUAGAUACCCUGGUAGUCCACGCUGUAAACGGUGGGUACUAGGUGUGGGGUCCAUUCCACGGGUUCCGUGCCGUAGCUAACGCUUUAAGUACCCCGCCUGGGGAGUACGGCCGCGAGGCUAAAACUCAAAGGAAUUGACGGGGCCCCGCACAAGCGGCGGAGCAUGCGGAUUAAUUCGAUGCAACGCGUAGAACCUUACCUGGGUUUGACAUGGAUCGGGAGUGCUCAGAGAUGGGUGUGCCUCUUUUGGGGUCGGUUCACAGGUGGUGCAUGGCUGUCGUCAGCUCGUGUCGUGAGAUGUUGGGUUAAGUCCCGCAACGAGCGCAACCCUUGUUCACUGUUGCCAGCACGUUAUGGUGGGGACUCAGUGGAGACCGCCGGGGUCAACUCGGAGGAAGGUGGGGAUGACGUCAAGUCAUCAUGCCCCUUAUGUCCAGGGCUUCACGCAUGCUACAAUGGCUGGUACAGAGAGUGGCGAGCCUGUGAGGGUGAGCGAAUCUCGGAAAGCCGGUCUCAGUUCGGAUUGGGGUCUGCAACUCGACCUCAUGAAGUCGGAGUCGCUAGUAAUCGCAGAUCAGCAACGCUGCGGUGAAUACGUUCCCGGGGCU